rnacentral:rRNA from 1 species
AGUGAACGCUGGCGGUAGGCCUAACACAUGCAAGUCGAACGGCAGCACAGUAAGAGCUUGCUCUUACGGGUGGCGAGUGGCGGACGGGUGAGGAAUACAUCGGAAUCUACUUUUUCGUGGGGGAUAACGUAGGGAAACUUACGCUAAUACCGCAUACGACCUACGGGUGAAAGCAGGGGAUCUUCGGACCUUGCGCGAUUGAAUGAGCCGAUGUCGGAUUAGCUAGUUGGCGGGGUAAAGGCCCACCAAGGCGACGAUCCGUAGCUGGUCUGAGAGGAUGAUCAGCCACACUGGGACUGAGACACGGUCCAGACUCCUAGGGGAGGCAGCAGUGGGGAAUAUUGGACAAUGGGCGCAAGCCUGAUCCAGCCAUACCGCGUGGGUGAAGAAGGCCUUCGGGUUGUAAAGCCCUUUUGUUGGGAAAGAAAAGCAGCAGGUUAAUACCCCGCUGUUCUGACGGUACCCAAAUAAUAAGCACCGGCUAACUUCGUG